CUACGGGCGGCUCCAGUUAGGGAUAUUCGGCAAUGGGGGAAACCCUGACCGAGCAAUGCCGCGUGAAUGAAGAAGUAUUUCGAUAUGUAAAGUUCUGUUGUUAAGGAAGAAAGGUACGAAUAGGAAAUGAUUCGUAAUUGACGGUACUUAACCAGAAAGCCCCUGCUAACUACGUGCCAGCGGCAGCGGUAAUACGUAGGGGGCGAGCGUUAUCCGGAAUUAUUGGGCGUAAAGGGUGCGUAGGCGGCCUGUCAAGUCCGAGUUGAAAGCCCACGGCUUAACCGUGGAGGGUGCUCGGAAACUGAUAGGCUUGAAUCCAGAAGAGGCAAGUGGAAUUCUAUGUGGAGCGGUGGAAUGCGUAGAUAUAUGGAGGAACACCAGUGGCGAAGGCGGCUUGCUGGGCUGGUAUUGACGCUGAUGCACGAAAGCGUGGGGAGCAAACAGGAUUAGAUACCCCAGUAGUC
rnacentral:rRNA from 1 species